rnacentral:ncRNA from 1 species
UGAAAGUAGAGGUUGCAUCAUUUAUCAGUAAGCUGUGGGAUGUUCAGGGCAGGUGAACAUGGACGAAAGGCAAUGAUGCCGAAGCGAAUCAAUUCCUGAGAUUGUUUUAGCUGGGAGUAUGGUUAAGAGCCAUGCUACUGUCAUCGCAAGAUGGAGGGCUACUAGA